GAUGAAGAACGUAGCGAAAUGCGAUAAGUAAUGUGAAUUGCAGAAUUCAGUGAAUCAUCGAAUCUUUGAACGCACCUUGCGCUCCUUGGUAUUCCGAGGAGCAUGCCUGUUUGAGUGUCAUGAAAUUCUCAACCUUUUCAGCUUUCUUUGUUGAUCAGGCUUGGAUGUGGGAGUAUGCGGGCUUCUCAGAAGUCGGCUCUCCUGAAAUGCAUUAGCGGGACCUUUGUUGCCUGGCUUUGGUGUGAUAAUUAUCUACGCCAUUGUAGUCAAGCAGCUUAAAAUGAGGUUUCAGCUUCUAACCGUCUCCCCUGAGACAACUUUUUGACAAUUUGACCACAAAUCAGGUAGGACUACCCGCUGAACUUAAGCAUAUCAAUAAGCGGAGGA
rnacentral:misc_RNA from 1 species